rnacentral:lncRNA from 1 species
UUAGCAGAUCAGACACUCAGGUCUGGGACAACAUGUCCUGAAGGGCAUCUCUGGGUUCCCCCUCCAGGGCCUUGGGUGCUGCCCUGCCUCCUCUGCUGAAGGCUGCCUACCCCCCACCGCCAGAGCAGCAGAGUUCCCUUCAGUAGCUUUCAGGGACUGGAAGGAUAGUGGGCUGCCUCUCCCCACAGAUUCCCAGGAAUUUGCAGUACAAGACUGUGGUUUACUAAUUCUUGGAUCAUUCAUUCAUCAUUUAAUAAUCUAUCUGCAGAGCAUGCUAAAUCCAUGGGAAAGAGAGGAGGAGAGUUAACCCUUAAAAUCAACCUGAUGGAGAGCAGAAACAUAACCACCACGAUGGAUGAACCAGUAAGAAGUGGCUAUAACUUCUAAAGGGCUGAGCACAGCCCAGGACUGCGUCUGGGAGAGCACCAGUUGAAUUGUUCACCCCCGAAACAACACAGGAGGACAUUCAUUGGUCAGGCUCAUGCAAGUUUCCAAUCUGCUUGACUGGUAUGGCUCUUCCUACAAACCAGCUCAUCGGCAUUAUAGUCUUGAUCAGUUCUUGUCCCUAAAACGACAGAGUUCCUGAGCCUUCAGGGAAGAGGGUCACAUUCUUGACCCCAAUUGCUUCCCCAGGUAGGGCCCAGCCUGGCUACCAGCCGGCUUCUCCAGGCAGCACAUUGCACACUCUGGAGCAAGUCGGCCCCCAAACUCAACCAGUCAUCUUCAUGGAUAUGCCGUUGGCCGACAAACCCACGUCCCCACCUCAUCUCCAAAGUUCUGAUGAUUGCAACAUUCACACUUUCACUCAACCUUACCACUUUGGGCUGUGAUCCUCUUAGGGCCACAGUAGGUGAAAUCUUAGCCAGAUGGGUGUGGCCUCACAGCAAGACUUGGCUACAGCCCCUGUGGCUGCAUCCGUCCUUAUGAGUGAACUCUUUCCACAGAUCAUAGGAGCAUGUUUCUCCCACUUCAGUCAGCAGCUUUCCCCUGGACAGCCUUCCAGGCUUCCACUACUGCCCCCCUACCCCACUGCCCAGGGUUCAAUAGUUGCCAUUUCCAACUGGUCCUUCUGGUGUGCCCUGGAGAGCAUUCCCUGGGCCUACGCAAUCUUCCAACUUAAGAAUGCUCUGCAGACAUCACUCUGGUUGCUCAAGGUGGGGCAGUAAACUUUUAUUUACAGGUCAUCUGAUAACCCUGAACUCUAGCCCAAUGACCUGGAGAAGAUGAAAGGCAGCUGCAUUGCUCAAGGUGAAAAAGAGACACAGGCUAGCAGAAAGACACACAGUGAAUAACACCAUCAAAGGAACGGAUGCAUGGGAAGAGGAGAGAUGGUGAUGCCAGCCAGAUGUGGCCGUGGGCUGGUGUUUCCUCUGGCCAGCAGUUCCAAUGACACCUCCUCCUGAGGGCUUUACAGGGUGCCCAAAUCGAACAAUGCCAUACUCUGAGCUCCUUUCAUACCUCUGUCCAUUUUCAGAGGCUGCACACAUUACAAGGUUUUGGAAUUGAUUUGUUUUUCUGCCCACAGCAGCCUCCAGGCUCUCAGGGCAUUGGAGCCUGUUCCUGGUACAUCCUUCUACUCCAAAUACCAAGUACAGUGCUUGGAACAUGGUGGCAGAUCUUUAAAAUUGUGUUUCUUUUCUUUUUUCU